rnacentral:tRNA from 2 species
GGGUCGUUAGCUCAGUCGGUAGAGCAGCGGACUUUUAAUCCGUUGGUCGCAGGUUCAAGUCCUGCACGGCCCACCA